rnacentral:lncRNA from 1 species
GGGAGAUUUGUCCUUAAUGUUUGAGACCAUUUUUCUCUAUUCUCUAUUUAUUUUUCUCUAUUCUGUAUGUUCUAAUAGACCCGUAUGGCCUUUUUUCUCUGUUAUUUGUUUUUUGGUACGUUUUUCUAUAUUCGUGAUCCAUUAUUGCAUAUAACCCCAACCAGACCCUCACAUAAAGACGACCUCUUGAUUUUAUGUAAGAUUGGUGUCUCAUUACAGUUUAGUUGUACAUGACAGUCUUGAUAGGGGUUCUCAUUUUUUCAUUUCUGUAUUCUUUAAAUUUUUAGGUUUACAUGUAUUUGCUCUAUUCUUUAUACCUUUUGCCCAUUAUUCUCUAUUUCAUAUACUGUAGCACCUCAUUAUUUCUAUUUUUAUUUUUUGGGGUCUAUUUUGGCCUAAUUUUCUCUUUUUUUUAUAUAAUUUUACCCAUUAUUCUUUAUUCUGUAAAACCCCAUCCCCACCCUCGGACAUGUAAUGAAUUCAAUGUUUUCUACACUGUCAUUGUUAAUAUAUAUUAUAUAUAUUCGGAACAAAACAAAAUUUAAUUCCCAAAUGUGAUCAUAUAUAUGUAUUGAUUUUCAUUCAUAAAGAGGAUUUCCCAUUUU